UGCGGAGGGUGCAAGCGUUGCUCGGAAUUAUUGGGCGUAAAGGGUAGGUAGGUGGUCUUAUUUGUCUGGGGUGAAAGCCUUGAGCUUAACUCAAGAAGUGCCCCAGAAACGGUGAGACUGGAGUCCUGGAGAGGGUCGUGGAAUUCCCGGUGUAGCGGUGAAAUGCGUAGAGAUCGGAAAGAACACCAACGGCGAAAGCACUCUGCUGGGCCGACACUGACACUGAGAGACGAAAGCUAGGGGAGCGAAUGGG
rnacentral:rRNA from 1 species